GGCAAAAAUUCUUGUCCCUGUGGACCUCAUUUUUUUUUUUUUUUUUUUUUUUUAAGAUAGGGUCUCACUGUGUGGCUCAAGCUGGAGUGCAGUGGUACGAUCUCAUCUCACUGCAGCCAUUGCCUCCAGGGCUCAAGUGAUCCUCCCACCUCAGCCUGUUGAGUAGCUGGGACCACAGGCACGUGCCACCAUGCCCAGCUAAUUUUUGUAUUUUUGUUAGAGAUGGGGUUUCACCAUGUUGCCCAGGCUGUUCUCUAACUCCUGGGUUCAAGUGAUCUGCCUGCCUCGGCUUCCCAAAGUGUUGGGAUUACAGGUGUGAGCCAUCGCACCUGGCUAGACCUCAUGUUCUAAUGACAGGAAGGGUCAAUACAUGUAUAGAUGUAUAAGUUAGAAAGUACAGUAGAAGGUGAUAAGUGUUCUCUAGAAAAAUAAAGGAAGAAAGGAGGUCGUACAGUAUCAGGGUGGAGACAGGGGUUGCAGUUGUACAUAGGGUGUUUUUGGGAAGUCCUCCCUGUGAAGGUGACAUUUGAUCAACAACCUGAAGGGAAAGAACAAGAGAACCAUACUUCACUCCUGCAGGAAGAGUGUGUAAGACUGAGGGAACGGCACGUGCAAAGGUCCUGAGGCAGGAGUGUGCUGAAGGGUUUGGGGCAUCCCAAGGAGGCCAGGGUGGCUGGAGUGGAGGGAAUGAGCAAGGAAGGAGGAGGCGGAAAGAGGGUCAGGGAGGUGACAGGGCAGAUUGUGCAGGGCUUGGUGGGCCACUUUGCCUAUAACUCUGGGUGAGAAUUGGUGCCACUGGAAGGUUCCUAGCAGAGGAGUGGCGUGAUCCUUCUGGCAGCUGCAUUGAGGAGAGUUUGCAGGGUGUCAGGGUGGAAGUGGGAGACCAGUUGGGAUGCCAUGGCCGUAAACCAGGUGAGAACUGGCAGAGCUUGGACCGUGAUGGUAGGAAUGGGCAGUGUGAUACAUGGCUUGAUAAACUGCCUAGACCCUCACAUAAAUGGUAAAUGUAUUUUUCAUCUCACUUACGUCUCCUUUAAUUACAGAAGUAGAAAAUGGUUACUGUAGAAAAUUGGCUAGCUAGAACAAAUCCCAAAAGAAAAUAACAGCCUCUCCUAAGUGGACCACCCAAUGUUAGAGUUAUCGAAGCAAUUAUAUUUUAAUCAUUUUCUUUUAAUAAUUACAUUUGAAAGUACUGUGUUAAAAUCGCUUAAACUGGCAGAAGCGGACUUUUAGGUCAUAUGCACAGUGGGGUGCAGACUCUGCAUUUUAAGAUUCAGUGGAGUGUUUGACUGUUCUGCUGUACACUGGAGGGGAAAGAGAAGGGUAAGAAGAUGAAGCCUUUACUUUGCUUCUCGUAGCUUGCAGAGAAGGAUGGGGGCAGGUGAGCAGAGACAGCUAUUCCCAGAUUACAGCCAAAUACAUAUUUUGAAAAUGAUGAAUGGAAUUUCAGGGAAUGGGGCCCUGUAAGUUCCCUGAGGUCAGGUACCGUGUCUUAUUCUUUACUGUUUUCCUAACAUGUGAUUUAGUGCCUGGCACAUAGUAGGUGCCCAGCAAAAAUAUUUGUUGAGUACAUAUGUGAAUUAAUAAGUAGGUAAUGCAUGGAAUGAAACAUGUCUUUUUGGAAAGAUCAGGAAGGACUACCUGUCAUGUG
rnacentral:lncRNA from 1 species